CGUUGAAAUACCGGUCCACAUACGAUCACCAUAGUUAAGCAACGUAGAGCCUGGUCAUUACCUCGAUGAGUGACUGCUUGAGAAUACCACGUGCUGGA